AGAGGUUGACAAACAGGGACUUUCCAAUUAUCCAGCAGUGGUACUGUUCCUUUACCCUUGUGGGUAAUAAUAUGGUAGCUAGACCUUCAAAAUUUAUGUGUCUAAACUUUGUUAGUGCUGUUUUUUUGCUAUUCUUUUACCUUUCUUGGUCAGAGCGAUGUAGUGGGAGCUGCAAGCUUCACGUGCUCAACUUUGGCAGAGAACUUUGGCAAAGUUAUCUGUGGUACCCAUGAGCUAUUGUUGCGUGUGGGAAGUGGGUGAUUGAACAGUAAGAUUCAUGUGCUUUCUACUUCACCAGAAGUCUUCGACAGAAUGCCCAUAAUUUCUGCAAAGCUGAGUGUGCGUGUGACAGGUGCUGACAAGGCUAGAAAAGUAGGUGCCUUUUCGAUUUCUGAGAUCGGCCCUCGUGGUCUCUGAGCAGCCCAGCUUUUGAGAAAGCGAGCGCCUCUUCGAUUGAUUCGGAGAACGAUGCCUCAUCGAUUUUUGAGAAAGCAAUCAUGCUGGGGUCUGGCUCUCGAAGAUUCGGGGAGCAGUGUCUCUUCGAUUUUUGAGAAAGUAAUCAUGUUUGGAGUCUGGCUCUCGAGAUUCGGAGGGCGGUGCCUCUUCGAUUUUGGAGCAAGCAAUCUUGUUGGGAGUGUUUUCUCGAAUGUGAGUAAAGGUUGGGCAUGUUUGCUAGUCUACCUUGCCACGAAGCACAGAGGUUGACACACAGGGACUUUCCAAUUAUCCAGCAAUGGUACUGUUCCUUUACCCUCUCUUCGAUUUUUAAGAAAGUAGUCAUGUUGGGAGUCUGGCUCUCGAGAUUCGGAGGACGGUGCCUCUUCGAUUUUGGAGCAAGCAAUCUUAUUGGGAGUGUUUUCUCGAAUGUGAGUAAAGGUUGAGCAUGUUUGCUAGUCUACCUUGCCACGAAGCACAGAGGUUGACACACAGGGACUUUCCAAUUAUCCAGCAGUGGUACUGUUCCUUUACCCUUGUGGGUAAUAAUAUGGUAGCUAGACCUUCAAAAUUUAUGGGUCUAAACUUUGUUAGUGUUGUUUCUUUGUUAUUCUUUUACCCUUCUUGGUCAGAGCGAUGUAGUGGGAGCUGCAAGCUUCACGUGCUCAACUUUGGCAGAGAACUUUGGCAAAGUUAUCUGUGGUACCCAUGAGCUAUUGUUGCGUGUGGGAAGUGGGUGAUUGAACAGUAAGAUUCAU
rnacentral:lncRNA from 1 species